AGGUUUAACUCAAGUGGUAGAGUGCUUGCUUAGCAUGCAUGAGGUCCUGGGUUCAAUCCCCAGUACUU
rnacentral:tRNA from 1 species